GUAGGGUGCGAGCGUUAAUCGGAAUUACUGGGCGUAAAGCGUGCGCAGGCGGUUUGGUAAGUCAGAUGUGAAAUCCCCGGGCUCAACCUGGGAACUGCAUUUGAGACUGCCAAGCUGGAGUGUGGCAGAGGGGGGUGGAAUUCCACGUGUAGCAGUGAAAUGCGUAGAGAUGUGGAGGAACACCGAUGGCGAAGGCAGCCCCCUGGGUCACUACUGACGCUCAUGCACGAAAGCGUGGGGAGCAAAC
rnacentral:rRNA from 1 species